CAAUAGAGAGCAUUAUACAUGAUCUUAAUAAAAAUAAUUAAAUAUAAAAAUUAACAAAAAAUAUAAUGAAUUUAAAAAUAUUGUUAUUAAGUACACUAUUUGUAGCAAUCGCAUACACAACAUGUGCUGAAGCACGUAGAAGUCAUAAAUCGCGUCAUAGUUCUUCUUCAAAUAGAAGGACAAGUGUAACUCAUCAUAGUUCAAGCAGACAUACUAGUAGGGGAAGUGGAAGCAGACAUUCUACAGUUGGUGAACUUCACAAUUCUUAUCCAAAACAACAAACCCAUAAUUCAAAUACCGGAUAUGUAGGAAAUCAUCAUACGGAUACCUCAUAUGGUCGUAAUAAACCUGCCUAUGGCAUUAAUUCACAUAACCAAAACACAUAUUCUGGAAAUGAUGAUAACACAGCAGGUUACGUGGUACACACGACUUCAACUCGCCGAAGACAUAGAAAGAGACACAGAACAACAAAAACAACAACAACUACAACCACAAAAAAGCCAUGCAUAAAAAAAGAUCCAUCGCUAAACAAUAAUCACUCACAACAGAAUUUGAACGUUAAUUGUGAUGCUGAUAUUCCUGCUGAAACUUCUACUGUUAAACCUACUAAUCAACUUCGAACGUCUAAUUCGGACCUUGAUGAUUAAAGAACAAACAAUUUUGAAAAAAUAAAUUUCAGUAUAAUUUUUGUGCAAUUGAAUCUUACUGAUUUUACAAAAUA